AUGGGGUUAUACAGCAUAAUGAAACAAUUCAAUGGUUGUACUCUAUUAUUGAUUCAAAGGUAAGUUAGUUAGUUAAAACUUAAAAGAAUUCAAGUUAGGCUAGUAUUUUUUCCAUUUAUUUUUCUUAUGUGUGAUUUUACACGGCUUUCCUCUUGGUGAGCACUAAGUCGCAGAGCAGUACAGUCCCAUUCUGUGUACAAUUCCCACCAUGACCCGACCACAAUCUUGAUGUGAUCAACCGUCAGGUGAGGAUUGGAUUCAAAGAGCCGGUCGGACCUCUCCUAAAAAUUAAUGUGUGAAACUCGGGAAUUAAAUUCACAUCCUCUAGAAUUGAAGUACAGCACAACUUCCUCUACGACCGUCUUGCCGACUAAGCUAGUGUUAGAAGUUUUAUGCCACCAAAUCUGCAUCAGAUAUGCUCUACUGCAAAAAAUCGACGCAAGAUUGUCGCAAGUUUACUGUAAAGAAUAUGAAGAGGUCUCUCUCUCAAAUCAUGCUAUUAGAGACGUCGUAGCAUAUUCAUAGACUACUUAACAUAAUGAAAUAGCAAAAACAAUCGGAUAUAUCUGUACUUACGAAAGUCGAUCCUUAUAUUGGCCUCAAAUUCACUUUUCUCAUGACCUGUCGAAACACACUAUGCGUUCCAUAGCGAUGAAAUUUUAACUAUUUGUUUUUAUCUAGCUGAAAGGCAGGUAUUUGAUACCGAGUUUCACAAAUUUUAGGCUUGUUUCUUAAGGAUAUUUUUUUGCAACAGAUUGAAAUACCAUCUCUCAGAUGAUGCAUGAGAUCAUGCUAGAUUUCUAUCGGGAAAAUUCUGAUUCGAUUCUGCCUCAAUUUUUUAUGUAUUUUUCGAGGAAUCUAGUCCGAGUUGAACAAUUGGACGGAUGUCUGCGUGGAAGUAUUAUUUUGCUAAUGAAGAACCAUGCGUUCAAUUCCGUCACCCCUCAAGAUUUUUCAAGAGGAGAAUCUCAGGUUACUGAAUCCAUCUUUCACCUGAUAGAUGACAUCAUCACAGCUGUGGAACAGAAAUAAUCCCAUCCCUUAGCUGAGGUGUGAAAUGGUUACUGCCAUAUAUAAACCAUAUUCCUUAAUAGGAUUCUGUGGCACAACUAUCAUGAGUACAAUAAUAGAAUACAAUAUAACAGCCAUUUCAUGAUUGACUAUUAUAUUGUAUUUUUAUUUAAAUUAUCCAGUUAUUUAUUUGUACGUAAAAAACUC
rnacentral:lncRNA from 1 species